GCCUGAGUGGUUCAGUCAGUUGAGCAUAUGACUUCAGCUCAGGUCAUGAUCUCAUGAUUUGUGGGUUCGAGCCCCACACCAGGCU
rnacentral:tRNA from 1 species